CCUACGGGUGGCUGCAGUGAGGAAUAUUGGUCAAUGGCCGGAAGGCUGAACCAGCCAAGCCGCGUGAAGGACGAAGGUGCCAAGCAUUGUAAACUUCUUUUGUCAAGGGACAAAAUCAGGCUCGAGAGCCUGACCGAGGGUACUUGAAGAAAAAGCAUCGGCUAACUCCGUGCCAGCAGCCGCGGUAAUACGGAGGAUUCGAGCGUUAUCCGGAUUUAUUGGGUUUAAAGGGUGCGUAGGCUGUCGGAUAAGUUAGAGGUCAAAUGUCGGGGCUUAACCCCGUGCCUGCCUCUGAUACUGUUCGACUAGAGAGCGGAUGCAGCAGGCGGAAUGAGUAGUGUAGCGGUGAAAUGCUUAGAUAUUACUCAGAACACCGAUUGCGCAGGCAGCUUGCUAAUCCGCAUCUGACGCUGAUGCACGAAAGCGUGGGUAGCGAACAGGAUUAGAUACCCGAGUAGUC
rnacentral:rRNA from 1 species